rnacentral:rRNA from 1 species
UACGCCUACGGGAGGCAGCAGUGGGGGAUAUUGCACAAUGGGGGGAACCCUGAUGCAGCGACGCCGCGUGGGCGAUGGAGUGCUUCGGCACGUAAAGCCCUAUCAGCAGGGAAGAAAAUGACGGUACCUGACUAAGAAGCCCCGGCUAACUACGAGCCAGCAGCCGCGGUAAUACGCAGGGGGGAAGCGUUAUCCGGAUUUACUGGGUGUAAAGGGAGCGUAGGCGGCGAUGCAAGUCAGAAGUGAAAG